UGGGGAAUAUUGGGCAAUGGGCGAAAGCCUGACCCAGCAACGCCGCGUGAAGGAAGAAGGUUUUCGGAUUGUAAACUUCUGUCCUCAGGGAAGAAAAAAAUGACGGUACCUGAGGAGGAAGCCCCGGCUAACUACGUGCCAGCAGCCGCGGUAAUACGUAGGGGGCGAGCGUUGUCCGGAAUGACUGGGCGUAAAGGGCGCGUAGACGGCUGUCUAAGUCUGGAGUGAAAGUCCUGCUUUCAAGGUGGGAAUUGCUUUGGAGACUGGAUGGCUUGAGUGCGGAAGAGGUAAGUGGAAUUCCCAGUGUAGCGGUGAAAUGCGUAGAGAUUGGGAGGAACACCAGUGGCGAAGGCGACUUACUGGGCCGUAACUGACGUUGAUGCGCGAAAGCGUGGGGAGC
rnacentral:rRNA from 1 species